UUUUAAUCUUCCCACUGGUAUUCGAUAUCUUCCAAAGCUUGUUGUAUUGGUGCUGACUUCCUGCAGAAAUCUGAAAUCAAUUUCAGAGCUUCCAUCAAGUUUAAAGAUUUUGUGGGCAUCUAACUGCGGAUCAGUCGAAAGAAUACCACUUAAAUCAAAUGGAUUCCUGCGGAUGAUGUUUCUGUCUAAUAGCCCAAAACUAGCAGAGAUUCAGGGAUUGGAAGAUAUGGAGCAAGCAAUUGCUAUUGAAAUGCCAUCAGGAAGGAACAAAUACGCAAAUGAUUUUAAGAAAUUUCUUUGUGAGGCAUUAUCCCAGGGUAAGCCUCAAGCCAUUUGUCUCCAAAGCAGAGAGUUACCCAUGUGGUUAAGUUAUCGACUAGAGGGAUCUUCGUCGUCAUUUCGUGUACCCACAGUUUCAGAAGGAAACACUGAGGGUCUUAUUUUGUGGAUUGUUUGUGCAAUAAAUGACAACUGCUAAUGUAGGUGUCACAACCACAUGCAAGAGCAAUACUUCCACGACAUGGGAGAUGGCAUCUGACUUCAGUCUUGUUGGAGCUUGUGAUGAUCAUUCUUUGUUGACGUAUUUACCAUUUCAAUGUGCAAUUGAAAGCGGAGAAGAAUUGGAAAUUACAGUUCAGGCUGGCGCUAACAACAUGGUUAAAAACUGUG
rnacentral:misc_RNA from 1 species